CAAUAUCGUGUAAGAAUUGGUGCCAGGCUGAGGCCUGGCUUAAAAGGGAAGAACGGUGUGAGUCCGUCGCUGUCCCGCAACUGUAACUCGGAGUGAAUCACAGAAGCCACUGUCAAUAGACGGGAAGGCGUGAGGAACAUUGAUGAGAAGCCAGGAGACCUGCCAACUUCUAAGUACACAC
rnacentral:ncRNA from 2 species